rnacentral:lncRNA from 1 species
GUGAAAAGUAAAUGUAAAAGAAACAACUGUAGCUCAGGCAUCAUACAAUCCAGUAUGUGGUGCCUUUGUGAAAAACUGAUAACACUCCUCUGCAACAGACUGAGUUGAUGCUCAUGAAAAUUGUUUUCAGCUGAGAUAUAUAAAGGAAUAACAGAUCGAGCAGUGUAUAUUUAGAUAUAUUCUAAAAUGCUGGACAAUUAAAGGAGAAAAAAGGAACAUUAGGAGUGCGAAGUAUAGAAAUUUGUUGCAGCUGAUGAAUGCAUCGCCUCUGUGGGACAAAGCAUCUGAAACUCUAAGAAACAUUUUCUAAAUCUGCUGGGUGAACAAGAGGAUCAAUACCAACUCUGUGGGCUUAUUUGUGCCCUUGCCCUCUACCAAACACUGAUCCUUCACUGUUAAAGGAAGAAUUAAAUUUUAAAGGAUAUCUGAUUUUACCCUAUUUGCUAUUAAAACUAUACAAAAAUCCAUUCUUCCCCACAUUCCUCUCAGCCCACAAGUAGAACUGAACUUACAGAUUCCAUUAACGUGGAAAAUGUGGAUUUAUACCUUCAACUGUAGUAUGCAAGAGGUGGGAGGACUUUACAGAGACAAAAGAACAAAUCCAGAAGAAUUCUGGAUGAGGAAGACUUAUGUUACACAGUACCCUAAAGCCAGUAAAGCAUCAUGACUCUAGAAAGCUUUUAGACACAAUUUCAAGGAACAUUAUCGCACUCUGGCUAGAAUUUGAGAUUUAUUUAUUUAUUUAUUUAUUUAUUUUUCCUACACUCUGUUCCCAACAAAAAUUCAGAAGGAGGUAAGUACUUGAGAAUUUAUAGAAUCAUAGAUAAGCAUUUCAAUAAAUCUGUCAUCUGUUGGAAAAGAAUUCUAGAU